AUCAGUGAUGUUUUCUGUUGCUUUAAUACCAAACCUUGUUAGAUUCUCAUGAGCAUUUGAGGGAAAAUCAGGGCAUGAAAACAUACAAUUAUCCUUUUUUGGGGGGAAAAUGCUUUUUAUAGAUUUAGUCUAGCAGUUUGUCAGCAGACUUGGUUUUGUGGUUCAAACACUCCUAAGUGGGAAUGACCUUGAUGGAGAAAGCCAAAACCAGGAGCAAGUCUUUUCCAAGCUCAUUUUAUCCCUGAUGAAAAGAGAUUUCUGAGUCCGUCGCCCAUCAGAAGACAGGCAGUGGACUGCAGGAGCUCCGUGAAGAUUUAACCAGGAGAAGAGAUGUCUCAGGCCGCAGUGUUGAGAGAUGCAGAAUGAACAGGAAGAAAACCCUGAAGGAGAAUCUCUGGCCAUCAGCUUGUGACCUUCAGCUGAAGCACACUUUUGGGUUAUGCAGCAGGACAAGGAUUUGAAGCAAAUUCACCUCUGAAUGGCUCAAAUAAAU